ensembl:lncRNA
CACAUCACAUGCAUGCACACUCACUUAUUAAUGAAGAUCUUGUGAAUGGUGUCAUUUAAAGUGGGUGUCAGGCAGUUGGCUAUAUAUUUGGCCGAAAUGCAGACAAGUUGGAGAAGCAAACUCAACACAGAAUAUACCUUUCUUUAGGAGUCUUCACCAGAGUACACUCUUCAAAAACCAUGGCUAAUAGCAAAGAUGUUGUUGAUGGCAACGUUUCCAGUCCAGAGUUCAUCCAGGAGCUUCUUCCGGCUGCGGAGCGAACGGCUCUUCUCUAUCAUCUGUCUUACCUGUGUCUGGGAGGCUUCCCGAAGCUGGAGCGUCUGCUGAGAGAGCGAGCUCUGGAGACACAGCUGCUGUUUGGAUCCUCUGAGGCCGUUCUGCUGAAGUGUGUAGGAACCAGUGAAAACCUGGUUAAAUCCCUGCUGCCCUUUCUGAAGGUGGCUGUGGAGAAGAACAAGCCACAGUUAGCACUGGAUUUGCUAGAAAAAGCCAAAGGAUGGAUCAGUGAUAUCAUAAAUGAUGUUAAAGAAACUGUGAAAAGGUAUGAUAAACAUAACAACGAUGUAGCCAAAUCAACCAGCGACAUCAUCACUGAAAAAAAAGAGACGGAGAUGAAGCAGCAGCAACAAACCAGUGAGAUGGAGGCGCUUCAGAAGAUUAUGGAUGGCCUGGAUGCAAACCUUCAGAAAACCAAUAAAGAGUUAGAAGAUUAUGAGAAGAAGAUUGAGCAGAAAAAUGCAGAGAUACAAAAAUUUAUCAACAGCAUUACUGGCUCCAAAGAGGAAAAGACACCUGCAGGGGAAAACGGGGCGGGAUCAGGUCUUGCUUUAUUUUCAGCGAUCGUGCCAUUUGUGGAGAGUAUUAUAGGUUUCAUUUCCAAGAUGGUGUUGUCCUCUUCUCAAGAAUCAAUGAUCAAAACUCUUCAGACGGGUUUAUCUGAGCUCACCAGUGCACAGCAACGUCUGAAAGAAAGAGAGUGGGACAUUCAGAACAAACUGAUGGACAACCAGCUGCAGCUGGCCAAAUUAAAGAUUGAAAAUGGUCAGAUGCCCAGCGUUACUCACCUCGAUGAGGUCCAGAAGUGCCUGUCCCGGAUCCAGCAAAUUCUGGUUCAGCUCCAGAAGUUCUGGGAGAAAGUGGGUUCUCUGCUGGACACACUGAAGAAAGAGACCUUCGCUGGGGAGGACUGUAUCAAGUAUCUUGCCGAUAUGAAGGAAAACUUCCUGGAGUCUAUUGAUGCAGCUAAAGAGGGAUGGAAAAAUUUUGGCAUCAGCUGCAUGAAGGCUAACCAGAUCUUCAGCGUUCAGUCGAAUCAGGCCUACAAGUUCCUGGAGAUCAAUCCUUCAUCUCUGUCCACAGAAGAGUGGCAGAAAGAGUACGAGAGCGUGAAGGAGAAGCUCGAGAAGAUCAGACCAAACACUGUCAAUAAAGCCAUUACACAGUGAGAUCUAGAAAGAUUAUUUACUUGGAAAUAUUAGUGAAUCUUCUACAGCAAUGUUUCUGCUUUGUCAUGUGAACUCUGACCUGUCACGCUGAUUUGAUCUUUCUGUAACUUAGUGUCUGAUAACAAGGGUUGAUGAACUAGUAUAAAGUGACUAUUAUGCAUCUGUAUAUGAUCUCAAUGCUUGACCUGCUCCGCAUGAAAUAAAACUGCUUUCAAUGAAAUGAGUGAUUUUUCAUCUUAUGUGAGUGAAUGUGAUUUUAAACCUCUGUUAUCCCUCUG